AGAAGUAAUCAUUGCCUCAUCAAAAGACUGCACAAGUCUAGAAGACAAAUCUCUGUGCUGCUCUGGGUUGAGAUGCUUAAAACACAGAUUCUCCAGUUGCUCUUUCCAAGUGGAGAUUCCUAAACGGUUUGCCAAUGGAGCAAAUAUCUCCAAAGUCUCCUUAGCAAAUCUCUGUUGCUUGAUCAAAGGCAAUGCAUCUAAUGUCAUCAUGUUAUGCAAUCGAUCUGCCAAUUUUAUCAGGACAGCCCUGGCAUCUGCCAUGGCAAGGAACAUGGUAUGCAACCGAUCUGCUUCAACAGUCUUAUUUGCUGUGUUGUUAUCACGUGCAAGCUUACUCAAGUGACUAAGCUUAGAGACCCCUUCCACCAAAUCUGCUACCCCUGCUCCAAAUAGGCUAAAUAUAUAAUCAUAGCUUAAAAAGGAAUCAUCAAGAGUGUCAUGUAAAAGCCCCGCAGCAACCACUGUAGAGUUAGCCCCAAUCAUUGCGAGCAAAACUGCAGUCUCGACACAAUGCUGCAAAUAAGGAUCCCCACUUGCCCGCAUCUGUCCUCUGUGUGCUUUCUCAGCUUCAUAAAAAGCCUUGACAACAAAAUCUUCACAGAAGAUUUUAUGCCUCAUUUGUGCCCCUAACAACAAUUCUUUGGCAUAAGGCUCAUUAUUAGGAUCAACAAAAGUAUCCUCCAUAUUAAAUGUCAGUUCAUCCGCAGCAACAGAUGAAGAACCCACAUCUGUCCCAACACUUUGAAACUCAAAACUCGGCGAAUCAUAGUCAACACAGGAUCCCAGCGCAUGUCUCACAAACCCAUUAAAGAAUCCACUAGUCCCACUGCGAAAUGAACCAUGAAUUGAACUUUGGAAACCGAUAUCAGCGCUUCUUUCACGAGCAAUUCUCAUAGGAGGACUACUAGAACACGAGACUGGACCUUGCAACACCGAAAUUGGACUUUGAUCCCUCUUUAUAGAAGA
rnacentral:misc_RNA from 1 species